GGGAGCACGUUGGUCCGGAAUUAUUGGGCGUAAGAGCUCGUAGGCGGUUUGUCGCGUCUGCUGUGAAAGCCCGGGGCUUAACCCCGGGUGUGCAGUGGGUACGGGCAGACUUGAGUGCAGUAGGGGAGACUGGAAUUCCUGGUGUAGCGGUGAAAUGCGCAGAUAUCAGGAGGAACACCGAUGGCGAAGGCAGGUCUCUGGGCUGUUACUGACGCUGAGGAGCGAAAGCAUGGGGAGCGAACAGGAUUAGAUACCCUGGUAGUCCAUGCCGUAAACGUUGGGCACUAGGUGUGGGGAACAUUCCACGUUUUCCGCGCCGUAGCUAACGCAUUAAGUGCCCCGCCUGGGGAGUACGGCCGCAAGGCUAAAACUCAAAGGAAUUGACGGGGGCCCGCACAAGCGGCGGAGCAUGCGGAUUAAUUCGAUGCAACGCGAAGAACCUUACCAAGGCUUGACAUACACCGGACCGGGCCAGAGAUGGUCUUUCCCCCUUGUGGGGCUGGUGUACAGGUGGUGCAUGGUUGUCGUCAGCUCGUGUCGUGAGAUGUUGGGUUAAGUCCCGCAACGAGCGCAACCCUCGUUCUAUGUUGCCAGCACGUGAUGGUGGGGACUCAUAGGAGACUGCCGGGGUCAACUCGGAGGAAGGUGGGGAUGACGUCAAAUCAUCAUGCCCCUUAUGUCUUGGGCUUCACGCAUGCUACAAUGGCCAGUACAAUGGGUUGCGAUGCCGCGAGGUGGAGCUAAUCCCAAAAAGCUGGUCUCAGUUCGGAUCGUGGUCUGCAACUCGACCACGUGAAGUCGGAGUCGCUAGUAAUCGCAGAUCAGCAACGCUGCGGUGAAUACGUUCCCGGGCCUUGUACACACCGCCCGUCAAGUCACGAAAGUUGGUAACACCCGAAGCCGGUGGCCUAACCCUUGUGGGGGGAGCCGUCGAAGGUGGGACUGGCGAU
rnacentral:rRNA from 1 species